UACGUAGGGGGCAAGCGUUGUCCGGAAUUAUUGGGCGUAAAGGGCGCGUAGGCGGCUUUGCAAGUGGCGGGUGAAAUCCCUCGGCUUAACCGAGGAACUGCCUGCCAGACUGUGAGGCUUGAGACCGGGAGAGGUGAGUGGAAUUCCCAGUGUAGCGGUGAAAUGCGUAGAUAUUGGGAGGAACACCAGUGGCGAAGGCGGCUCACUGGACUGGUACUGACGCUGAGGCGCGAAAGCGUGGGGAGCAAACAGG
rnacentral:rRNA from 1 species